rnacentral:rRNA from 1 species
UAGGGAAUCUUCGGCAAUGGGGGGAACCCUGACCGAGCAACGCCGCGUGAGUGAAGAAGGAUUUCGGUUCGUAAAACUCUGUUGUUAGAGAAGAACAGCGCAUAGAGUAACUGUUAUGCGUGUGACGGUAUCUAACCAGAAAGCCACGGCUAACUACGUGCCAGCAGCCGCGGUAAUACGUAGGUGGCAAGCGUUGUCCGGAUUUAUUGGGCGUAAAGCGAGCGCAGGCGGUCAAUUAAGUCUGAUGUGAAAGCCCCCGGCUCAACCGGGGAGGGUCAUUGGAAACUGGUUGACUUGAGUGCAGAAGCGGAGAGUGGAAUUCCAUGUGUAGCGGUGAAAUGCGUAGAUAUAUGGAGGAACACCAGUGGCGAAGGCGACUCUCUGGUCUGUAACUGACGCUGAGGCUCGAAAGCGUGGGGAGCGAACAGG